ensembl:lncRNA SATB1-AS1 SATB1 antisense RNA 1
AGCCUGAACUUUCUCAUCCAACACCCGUUCAAGUCGGAGGAUGCUGAUUAAUUCAUGAUGGAAAGGUAUCAAUUUCACAGCCCAGACCUCUACAUUCUUGAAAUGCUCUUCUCAUGGGAGACAUUAAAUAAGCUUUGAAUUAACUUAAGCCCUUAAGUAAAAGUGCCAUCAAAUGAUUUCUCAGAAAUUAUAAAGAAACAAAAGGACCAUAAACAAGAUAAGGUGGCAUGAGGAAACAUUACAAGUACCUUUCAGAGCUGACUGGCAAAGAAACUCCUGAGGUGACGGGGACUUAUCUUCCUCAGUUCUCUGUGAUGAACUUUUGUAGAGCCAUACGAAAGGAGGUUUUUAGCUCUCACCUGUGGUCUUUCUUCAUCAUGCACCUCCUAGAUUCAAAAGUUCAGCAGGGACAUGUCAAGCUAUAUAAAUAAAAACAAACUAAGAAAAAAUGUAACAUUCCAUACCUUAAAACGCAACCUUAAUAACGUGAAAGACCCUGAAGGACUUGAGACGUGAAGAUUUUCUACCACGGUCUUUGCCUGUAUUAUUUCUGACAGCUGUUCCUUUCUACUCCCUCUUGCACACAUCUUUAGUUACUCCCUGUUCUCCAUCCCUCUGAUAAAAUCUAGAGUUCCCCCCUCAAAUUAGAAAAUUAAAAAAAAUUAAAAAUCUAAAAUUAAAA